GCAAGGACACAAACAGAAACAGAACAGAGGGAACCGUUAUUUUCCGGGGUAACACCAACCACGGACAAGUCACAUGUGACAUUCCACUGUGGCCCACGAAGAGAGGAGCAAACUAGCAUUCCGAAGAAGCUGACUGCGCGCCAAAACUUCAGUACAGCUAUCCAAGGUGCAAGUCAGCAAAAGCAAGGCUGGGAGAAAAGAAACGGAGCAGCAAAAAGAGGCGGCGUAUAAGAUCUGUGUACUCGUACAUCAGUCACAAGCAGCCCGCUGCAGCCAAAGUGAGACGACGAGGCAGAAGAGGGGGCAGAGAGAUGAGAGGGCGGAGGAGAAUCAAUGGAACCAGAGCGUCCCUGACGCCACCUCGGGAAGGCUUUGUAGUAGACAGACUCAGGCCACGGAACGCCUGGGCAAUUCAAACUAUUAGGAAGCGUUUGGCAACAGUAACCAUUCCACAUGCAAUUUAUUAGGACGUGUCUGACAAACCCUAAAGAGCCAUCUCGGCAGAGGGGUCUUGCAGAGGAGGGUGUUAGCAACCUCCAUUAAAGAAAGAUUUCCACAUGAGCAUUGCAUUACCUGCACCCAUUUAUAUAAAUCAUCCACCCAAAACAAGCACUAGCAAGCCAGACAGAUUGAGGACAGAUUUAAAUUCAGUGACAAGAAGAAAGCAGAGCCUUUACCCAUCCCACAUAAAUCCUGCCAAAAAUGGUCAAUCGCUAAAAGGCACCGAGAGCAACAGCUGCCGACAGCCUAUCACUUUAUUUCUGUUGUACUCUGCUGAGUGACAGCAGAAGUAAACAUUCAUUUCCCCUGUAUUCUGCUCGGCAACAGACUAUGUAUAAAUGCAAACUCCACUUGGUGCUAAUUGCGCAUCUUUGGCAGAGUAUAGUACAC